AGCAGCCGCGGUAAUUCCAGCUCCAAUAGCGUAUAUUAAAGUUGUUGCAGUUAAAAAGCUCGUAGUUGAAUUUCGGGAUCAUCAGGUUGGUCGUGCCUCCGGUAUGUACUUGCUUCGGUGGUCCCUCCUUCUUGAAGAACCGUAAUACCAUUAAUUUGUUGUUGCGGGGAAACAGGACUGUUACUUUGAAAAAUUAGAGUGUUUAAAGCAGGCAAUCGCUUGAAUACAUUAGCAUGGAAUAAUGAAAUAGGACGUUCGAUCCUAUUUUGUUGGUUUCUAGGAUUGACGUAAUGAUUAAUAGGGAUAGUUGGGGGCAUUAGUAUCCAAUUGUCAGAGGUGAAAUUCUUGGAUUUAUUGAAGACUAACUACUGCGAAGGCAUUUGCCAAGGAUGUUUUCAUUAAUCAAGAACGAAAGUUAGGGGAUCGAAGACGAUCAGAUACCGUCGUAGUCUUAACCAUAAACUAUGCCGACUAGGGAUCGGAUGAUGUUAAUUUUUA
rnacentral:rRNA from 1 species